UACAGAGGGUGCGAGCGUGUUCGGAAUUACUGGGCGUAAAGCGCGCGCAGGCGGCCCUUUAAGUCCGUCGGUCAAAUGCCGGGGCUCAACCCCGAGCGUGCCGAGGAUACUGGAGGGCUGGAGACACGUAGAGGCAAGCGGAAUUCCGGGUGUAGCGGUGGAAUGCGUAGAGAUCCGGAAGAACACCGGAGGCGAAGGCGGCUGACUGGGCGUGAUCGUGACGCUGAGGCGCGGAAAGCGUGGGG
rnacentral:rRNA from 1 species